GUGGGGAAUCUUCCGCAAUGGACGAAAGUCUGACGGAGCAACGCCGCGUGAGUGAAGAAGGUUUUCGGAUCGUAAAGCUCUUUCGUUAGGGACGAACGUGCUCUUUGUGAAUAAUGAGGAGUAAUGACGGUACCUAAAUAAGAAGCCACGGCUAACUACGUGCCAGCAGCCGCGGUAAUACGUAGGUGGCAAGCGUUGUCCGGAAUUAUUGGGCGUAAAGCGCGCGCAGGCGGGAUAUCAAGUCUGUCUUAAAAGUGCGAGGCUCAACCUCGUGAGGGGACAGAAACUGGUAUUCUUGAGUGUCGGAGAGGAAAGUGGAAUUCCAAGUGUAGCGGUGAAAUGCGUAGAGAUUUGGAAGAACACCAGUGGCGAAGGCGACUUUCUGGACGAAAACUGACGCUGAGGCGCGAAAGCCAGGGGAGCGAACGGGAUUAGAAACCCCUGUAGUCC
rnacentral:rRNA from 1 species